rnacentral:rRNA from 1 species
CGUGAGCAACCUACCGAACUGUGGGGGAGUAGCCGGCCUAACGGCCGAGUAAUACCGCAUACGCUCUCAGAGAGGCAUUUCAUUGAGAGGAAACCUACGGGACAGAUCGAGGGGCUCGCGGCCUAUCAGCUAGUUGGCGAGGUAACGGCUCACCAAGGCAACGACGGGUAGCUGGUCUGAGAGGAUGGCCAGCCACAUUGGGACUGAGAUACGGCCCAG